rnacentral:rRNA from 1 species
AGCUGAUCAUUGGGUGUAAAGAGUGCGCAGGCGGUUUUGUAAGACAGAGGUGAAAUCCCCGGGCUCAACCUGGGAACUGCCUUUGUGACUGCAAGGCUGGAGUGCGGCAGAGGGGGACGGAAUUCCGCGUGUAGCAGUGAAAUGCGUAGAUAUGCGGAGGAACACCGAUGGCGAAGGCAAUCUCCUGGGCCUGCACUGACGCUCAUGCACGAAAGCGUGGGGAGCAAACA